rnacentral:rRNA from 1 species
CCUACGGGUGGCAGCAGUGAGGAAUAUUGGUCAAUGGACGAGAGUCUGAACCAGCCAAGUAGCGUGAAGGAUGACUGCCCUAUGGGUUGUAAACUUCUUUUAUAAAGGAAUAAAACGAGGCACGUGUGCCUUUUUGCAUGUACUUUAUGAAUAAGGAUCGGCUAACUCCGUGCCAGCAGCCGCGGUAAUACGGAGGAUCCGAGCGUUAUCCGGAUUUAUUGGGUUUAAAGGGCGCGUAGAUGGGUUGUUAAGUCAGUUGUGAAAGUUUGCGGCUCAACCGUAAAAUUGCAGUUGAUACUGGCAGUCGUGAGUACAGUUGAGGUAGGCGGAAUUCGUGGUGUAGCGGUGAAAUGCAUAGAUAUCACGAAGAACCCCGAUUGCGAAGGCAGCUUACUAAACUGUGACUGACAUUGAUGCACGAAAGUGUGGGUAUCAAACAGGAUUAGAUACCCCUGUAGUC